rnacentral:rRNA from 1 species
AGCGGCGGACGGGUGAGUAACACGUGGGUAACCUGCCCAAGAGACUGGGAUAACACCUGGAAACAGAUGCUAAUACCGGAUAACAACACUAGACGCAUGUCUAGAGUUUGGAAGAUGGUUCUGCUAUCACUCUUGGAUGGACCUGCGGUGCAUUAGCUAGUUGGUAAGGUAACGGCUUACCAAGGCAAUGAUGCAUAGCCGAGUUGAGAGACUGAUCGGCCACAUUGGGACUGAGACACGGCCCAAACUCCUACGGGAGGCAGCAGUAGGGAAUCUUCCACAAUGGACGAAAGUCUGAUGGAGCAACGCCGCGUGAGUGAAGAAGGGUUUCGGCUCGUAAAGCUCUGUUGGUAGUGAAGAAAGAUAGAGGUAGUAACUGGCCUUUAUUUGACGGUAAUUACUUAGAAAGUCACGGCUAACUACGUGCCAGCAGCCGCGGUAAUACGUAGGUGGCAAGCGUUGUCCGGAUUUAUUGGGCGUAAAGCGAGUGCAGGCGGUUCAAUAAGUCUGAUGUGAAAGCCUUCGGCUCAACCGGAGAAUUGCAUCAGAAACUGUUGAACUUGAGUGCAGAAGAGGAGGGUGGAACUCCAUGUGUAGCGGUGGAAUGCGUAGAUAUAUGGAAGAACACCAGUGGCGAAGGCGGCUCUCUGGUCUGCAACUGACGCUGAGGCUCGAAAGCAUGGGUAGCGAACAGGAUUAGAUACCCUGGUAGUCCAUGCCGUAAACGAUGAGUGCUAAGUGU